UGAUAGCGAUGAAACGAGAGGUUGCUGCUUAUGAUAAGCAGGUUAUUCCGCGGAGCGAAUGUCAAGUUAGGAAACUGGCGACAA
rfam:Clostridium sp. CAG:43 genomic scaffold, scf454